rnacentral:rRNA from 1 species
AACGCGAAGAACCUUACCUGGGCUCGAACGGCUGGUUAACGGCGGUGGAAACACUGCUACCCCGCAAGGGGGUCCAGUCGAGGUGCUGCAUGGCUGUCGUCAGCUCGUGUCGUGAGAUGUUGGGUUAAGUCCCGCAACGAGCGCAACCCUUGUCCUGUGUUGCCAUGUUCGCAAGAACGGAACUCGCAGGAGACCGCCAGCGAUAAGCUGGAGGAAGGUGGGGAUGACGUCAAGUCCUCAUGGCCUUUAUGUCCAGGGCUACACACGUGCUACAAUGGACGGUACAAUACGCCGCAAACCCGCGAGGGGGAGCCAAUCGCUAAAAACCGUUCUCAGUUCGGAUUGCAGGCUGCAACUCGCCUGCAUGAAGCUGGAAUCGCUAGUAAUGGCAGAUCAGCACGCUGCCGUGAAUACGUUCCCGGGCCUUGUACACACCGUACGUC